rnacentral:misc_RNA from 1 species
UUAACUAUUAGAUAGUACUCAGACGACACAUGAUUCAGAAUUUAAGGUCCUUCGACACGCGCGAGCGUGCCUAAGGAACAAAGAUAUAAUACACAAGGGUGAGGUUUGCUACCCGUUAGGGCAGCUAACACUGUAAUGAUCCUUCCGCAGGUUCACCUACGGAAA